UACAAAACUACAACAUUACUUACAAAAGGCUAUAACAGUUGCUAGCUGUUAUAAUAGAUUACUUACACGGCUCCAGCCUGUUUGGCUGGAGCUAUACACACAGCUACAUGUUCAAUCAAUGCAAGCAAAGGAAAAAGGAGGCUCAAUUCCUCCUACUAUUUGGUUUUAUCCAGUAAGUAGGCUGGCCUGUGAUGUCACUGCCAGAAGCACAUGAGUUAGCACACUGACCCCUAGUGGUGCCUCUAAAGCAUUAAGCUCAUUAUGCUUUACUGACAUGUAGUUGUGCGUCUAAAGCAUUAAGCUCAUUAUGCUUUUUUAUGACAAAAAGUCAUUAAUUAAUAAAUACCAUUACACUUAGCUACCAUCUUUUUUAUCUUUUCU